ensembl:lncRNA ZBED3-AS1 ZBED3 antisense RNA 1
AAAGAACCCACUGCAGGGCGUCCAGUCACUUGCCCAGUGAAAAGACUGUAAUCAGACAACUUUAAUAAAGGGAGAGCAGGAGAGUGGUGACGAAUUUCCACAUUCCGAACAAGCUUGUCGAAAGAGGAGUGCAGGGAAGGAGCAAGAAUGAGGCACUGGAAGACGGCUGUAGGCGCAUGAUGUCACAAGUUAUUGGAAGAAAUCCCUCCAACCUAGGUUGGGACAGAUGAAGGCGGCGCUUAUUGGUGUUCACCAAAACACCAGCAUGGUGUACCAGCUUUGGCUAGAUGAUGCUCAGGAAAACACAGAUCCUGGUGCCGAACAUGAGGACAGGGCAGGCCGAAGGAGAAAGUGGAAGGAGGGGAGCUUCUCUCUCAGCCUCAUCCUUCUGGGCCUGGAUGCUGGAGAGUCAUGAGGUGCUUCAGAGUACUCUGGGUGAGGAGGGAAAGAUGGUGCCCACCACAUGGAGGCCAGCCUAGGUCUUGUAUGAAACCUGUGAGGAGAUUCUCUCUCCCUUGCUGUCUUUGAAAAAGCAAGUUGCCAUGUGAAGAGGGCCAUAUAGCAUAGGAGCUGAAGGCAGCCUCCAACUGACGGCAAGAAAAUGAGGUCCUCAGUCUGACAACCUGCAAGAAACUGAAUGUUCUAAAAGCCACAUGAGCUUGGGAGCAGAUCUGACCCCAGCCAAAUCUCUGAAGUCCGCAGGCAGGAAAUGAAGAUCAGAAAAAGGCUAUUGUCUCAUGAAUAUGAGCCAGACUCCACAGAAGCUGGAGUCCUUCAUUAUGGAGCUAAACACAUACACCUGGCUUAGGAGUCAGAAAAACUGAAAGAGAAUUCAGGGAAGUAGAGAAAUUGCAAGCCCAGAUGCUGCUUCAUACCAAAGAAGCAAGUCAGCAGGUCAGCAACAAUGUGUAUCAGUUCCAAAAUGACUUACACAGGUACCAAGACAAGACAUUAUAUACACUUAUAUAGUCAAAUACUUUAAAACUGUUAACAAACUUGCUACAAUUGUCUCAUUUGUCUUUUAACCUUAAUAUCACAGAUCAAGUUUGUAAUCUCAAAAGUUCACCCUGGCUGCUGUGUGGAGUAUUCUCUUAUCUGCUCAUAUUACACUGUGCUUAUUCAUUCAUCAGUUAAUGGAAAUUUGGGUUGUUUCCUGAUUUUGACUGUAAUGAAUAAUGUUGCUGUAAACAUUCAUGUACAGUUUUGUGUGGACAUGCUUUUCUUUCUCUUGGGUAGGUUCCUAUGAGUGGAAUCACUAGAUUGUAUGGUAAAUGUAUGUUUAACUUUUAAAGAAACUGUCAAACUGUUUUCUAACAUGAACGGGCCAUUUUACGUUCUUAUCAACAAUAUAUGAUGGUUUCAAUUUUCCCACA